AACUUUCGACAAUGGAUCUCUUGGCUCUCGCAUCGAUGAAGAACGCAGCGAAAUGCGAUAAGUAAUGUGAAUUGCAGAAUUCAGUGAAUCAUCGAACCUUUGAACGCAUCUUGCGCUCCUUGGUAUUCCGAGGAGCAUGCCUGUUUGAGUGUCAUUCAAGUUCUCAACCACACACUUUAUGUGUGGCUUGGAUUGUGGGGGCCUUUUGUUUUGCAGGCUUUUGAAAAUGAAGUCUGCUCCCCUGAAAUGUAUUAGUAGUAUCUGAGCGUACUGCAAGGUGUGAUAAUUUAUUCUAUGCCUUUUGGGUAUGCUGCAUGAGCACUGCUUCUAAAAACGAGAAACCAUGUUUGAUGAAUUUGACCUCAAAUCAGGUAGGACUACCCGCUGAACUUAAGCAUAUCAAUAAGCGGAGGCU
rnacentral:misc_RNA from 1 species